UGGUUCUGGCAUCGAUGAAGAACGCAGCGAAAUGCGAUAAGUAAUGUGAAUUGCAGAAUUCAACGAAUCAUCGAAUCUUUGAACGCAUAUUGCGCCCAUUGGUAUUCCGAUGGGCAUGCCUGUUCGAGCGUCAUUUCAACCCUCAAGUAUUUUAUACUUGGUAUUGGAGCUCUCUAUAGUGGUUAACGCUAUAGGCUCUAAAAGCAAUUGGCGGGAGUUUAGUGAACCCGGACGUAGUAAAAUUACUUUUCGUUUAGGGCUUUUUCUAAAUUUCUAGCCGUUAAGCACUCAAAACUUUUACAAGUUGACCUCGGAUCAGGUAGGAAUACCCGCUGA
rnacentral:misc_RNA from 1 species